UACGGGGGGGGCAAGCGUUGUUCGGAAUUACUGGGCGUAAAGGGCUCGUAGGCGGCCAACUAAGUCAUACGUGAAAUCCCUCGGCUUAACCGGGGAACUGCGUCUGAUACUGGAUGGCUUGAGUUCGGGAGAGGGAUGCGGAAUUCCGGGUGUAGCGGUGAAAUGCGUAGAUAUCUGGAGGAACACCGGUGGCGAAGGCGGCAUCCUGGACCGAUACUGACGCUGAGGAGCGAAAGCCAGGGGAGCAAACGGG
rnacentral:rRNA from 1 species